rnacentral:rRNA from 1 species
AACGAACGCUGGCGGCAGGCCUAACGCAUGCAAGUCGAGCGAGGACUUCGGUUCUAGCGGCGGACGGGUGAGUAACGCGUGGGAAUGUGCCCUUCUCUACGGAAUAGCCCUGGGAAACUGGGAGUAAUACCGUAUACGCCCUUUUGGGGAAAGAUUUAUCGGAGAAGGAUCAGCCCGCGUUGGAUUAGGUAGUUGGUGGGGUAAUGGCCUACCAAGCCGACGAUCCAUAGCUGGUUUGAGAGGAUGAUCAGCCACACUGGGACUGAGACACGGCCCAGACUCCUACGGGAGGCAGCAGUGGGGAAUCUUAGACAAUGGGGGCAACCCUGAUCUAGCCAUGCCGCGUGAGUGAUGAAGGCCUUAGGGUUGUAAAGCUCUUUCAGCUGGGAAGAUAAUGACGGUACCAGCAGAAGAAGCCCCGGCUAACUCCGUG